AUUGAACGCUGGCGGCAUGCUUUACACAUGCAAGUCGAACGGCAGCGCGGGGCAACCCUGGCGGCGAGUGGCGAACGGGUGAGUAAUGCAUCGGAACGUAUCCUGUAAUGGGGGAUAACGUAGCGAAAGUUACGCUAAUACCGCAUACGCUCGAGAGAGGAAAGUGGGGAUCGCAAGACCUCACGUUAUAGGAGCGGCCGAUGUCCGAUUAGCUAGUUGGUGGGGUAAAGGCCUACCAAGGCGACGAUCGGUAGCUGGUCUGAGAGGAUGAUCAGCCACACUGGGACUGAGACACGG
rnacentral:rRNA from 1 species